UUGAAGUCAGGCCACUUGUGCCACGGCUUGAGCAAACCGUGCUGCCUGUAGCUCCGCCCAAAACGGGAGGCGUAAAAAUUCCCAGGGAGGCCAUGCGCCACGGAAGCUGUACGCGUGGCAUAUUGGACUAGCGGUUAGAGGAGACCCCUCCCAUCACCAACAAAACGCAGCAAAAGGGGGCCCGAAGCCAGGAGGAAGCUGUACUCCUGGUGGAAGGACUAGAGGUUAGAGGAGACCCCCCCAACACAAAAACAGCAUAUUGACGCUGGGAAAGACCAGAGAUCC
rnacentral:lncRNA from 1 species